rnacentral:rRNA from 1 species
UACGUAGGGGGCUAGCGUUGUCCGGAAUCAUUGGGCGUAAAGCGCGUGUAGGCGGUCCGGUAAGUCCGCUGUGAAAGUCGGGGGCUCAACCCUCGAAUGCCGGUGGAUACUGUCGGGCUAGAGUGCGGAAGAGGCGAGUGGAAUUCCUGGUGUAGCGGUGAAAUGCGCAGAUAUCAGGAAGAACACCCGUGGCGAAGGCGGCUCUCUGGUACGUGACUGACGCUGAGACGCGAAAGCGUGGGGAGCAAACAGG